rnacentral:lncRNA from 1 species
CCACCUGUUUCCCCCACUACGCACACAAAAACGUCACCGUUUCAUUCUCACUCCUUCCUGACACCCUCUCCUUUUCCCCACAUUCCUUCGUUUCAUAUCAACUCAAAAGUUCAUUCUUUUAACAUUAAUAAUAAUAAUUUUAUUGAAAUAAAUCAAUCAAAAAGGUAACUCCAAAUAUCCCCUCCAGCUUUUUGUUGCUUCUUAAUUUUGAUCGACUAUGACGAUGUACUAAACUAAAGCUUCAAUUUUUUUCAGUUUUUUCAGUCAACGCUUUUGCUUCAAGAUUUCGUUUUACCUUCCUUGAAAAUUAAAGCUCACCUAAUUGAUACAAUUAAAACUCUUUUUUUAGCUGAAAAUUGAUACAAUUUUCACUUCAUUUUUUCUUAACUUUGUAUCCAGAUUUGCUGCUUUUGUUUACAGUGUUUAUUUUUUUAAUAUUUUUCUGUGGAGCUAAGCUUGACUUUGGUUACAGCUUUAUAAUAUUUUAACAUAUAAUCAGACUAAUUUAUUUAUUUGUUGAUUUAUUAUUUUUUAAAUAUGGUUUGAGACUUCUGAUGUUUCAAUAUUUAUUGCACACGUGUAGUGCAGUGGCUUCAAUAAAUAUGGUAUUGUAAAGUUUAAAGCUUUUUGCAUGUGAAUGAGCUGGUGUGUACACUUUCAUUGAUGUUUAGAUUCAUGUAUGUGGUUAUCUCUGAUCUGGGUACACGUUAGAUUUUAAUUUUAUGGCAUGGUCCAUUUGACCAAAUAUUUUUGUUACUUGAACUGAUGAACACGAAUUUUGAAGUGAAUACGUGUGUUUGAUUGCUGGAUUUUGUAAGAUUCCUUUGUAGAAAUAUUUUAAUCCCACGAACAGUAUGAUUCAGCAAAUAGCUUUGGGAAUGGUAUUGAUUCUAUUCUUGUUUGUUUAUUCAUAUAAGAACUUUGAUGCAACCUUCAGAUUCCUUUUGAACCAUGUAGUUAUAUAUUUGGAUUAGUUUAUAGAUGUUUUUUGUUACUUCCGCUCUUGAUUGCUUAUCAUAUGUUAGUUAAAGAGCAAACAUUAUACAAGUUCUUUAUUGAUUAGUGCUCUUUCGUAUAACGGGUUCGUUACUGAUGUUCACUUUCUUAUUUGACUUUGUUUAUGCAGUUCUUGUAGCGAGAUUGUGUAAUUUGAAUAUUCAGAUACUUCCGUAGCUAAUGGCUUCGCCAGAUAUUGAGUCUCCCUGGCUUUGUGCCGCUGGUGAAUCCUUCCGUGCACGGUCGUUUAAUAUACGCGUGGAGAAGGGGAAUGCAGCUGAUAUUUUACAUGUGCUGGAAGUUCCCACCUCUUCUGUACCCUAUAACUGUAGUAUACCCAAGCCACCCCCUCUCCCA